AACAAAAAAGUUUUUUUUAGAUAAGAAUAGUAGAUUGUAAGUUUAUUGGUGUGGUGUCACUUUUGUUU
rnacentral:tRNA from 1 species